rnacentral:lncRNA from 1 species
ACCGCCACGGUGACUUGCAAGCAACUCACUACACUUAGGCACUGGACUACCUGAAUUUUUAAUUCAGUGACGGAAGGUUGCUGGGUGUAGUCAAGUACUUGACUUGUCGGUGCGUGUGUCAAGAUGAGAUUGACCACUCCAGUUUAGGAGCUGUGUACAGUCAUGUUUCAAUUUAGCAAAAUCUUGGCCAGGGUAGUCCUUGUGAGGAGUCACAGGACUGUUUGAGUUGAGCACGAUUCGGAUGAUCUGAUCAGGGUUGACAGUUUAACCCUGAGUCAUCCUAAACAUAGGGGUC